rnacentral:rRNA from 1 species
AACGAACGCUGGCGGCAUGCCUAACACAUGCAAGUCGAACGAAGGCUUCGGCCUUAGUGGCGCACGGGUGCGUAACGCGUGGGAAUCUGCCCUUGGGUUCGGAAUAACAGUGAGAAAUUACUGCUAAUACCGGAUGAUGACUUCGGUCCAAAGAUUUAUCGCCCAAGGAUGAGCCCGCGUAAGAUUAGCUAGUUGGUGAGGUAAAGGCUCACCAAGGCGACGAUCUUUAGCUGGUCUGAGAGGAUGAUCAGCCACACUGGGACUGAGACACGGCCCAGACUCCUACGGGAGGCAGCAGUGGGGAAUAUUGGACAAUGGGCGAAAGCCUGAUCCAGCAAUGCCGCGUGAGUGAUGAAGGCCUUAGGGUUGUAAAGCUCUUUUACCAGGGAUGAUAAUGACAGUACCUGGAGAAUAAGCUCCGGCUAACUCCGUGCCAGCAGCCGCGGUAAUACGGAGGGAGCUAGCGUUGUUCGGAAUUACUGGGCGUAAAGCGCACGUAGGCGGCCAUUCAAGUCAGAGGUGAAAGCCCGGGGCUCAACCCCGGAACUGCCUUUGAAACUAGAUGGCUUGAAUCUUGGAGAGGCGAGUGGAAUUCCGAGUGUAGAGGUGAAAUUCGUAGAUAUUCGGAAGAACACCAGUGGCGAAGGCGACUCGCUGGCUCGGUACUGACGCUGAGAUGCGAAAGCGUGGGGAGCAAACAGG